AUCCCUGCUCCCACCCUUUAUUUAUUCACUCCACUCACUUUUCCCAUCUUUCCCCCUCCCAUUCCUCCUUUCUUUUUUCCCAGGAUAAUCCAGCAGAUCUUCGCGGGCUUUUUCGCCAACUCGGCCGUCCCUGGCUCCCAACAUCCCUUUUCCUGGAGCGGGAUGCUGCACUCCAACCCCGGGGAUUACGCGUGGGGACAGAGCGGCCUCGACGCCAUCGUCACCCAGCUCCUGGGGCAGCUGGAAAACACGGGCCCACCGCCGGCGGACAAGGAGAAGAUCUCGUCGCUCCCGACGGUGCCGGUGACGCAGGAACAAGUGGGUGGGUGACUCCGGAUCCGCUGGCACCUGGAGCCUGGUGUUUGACAUCCCUUCCCAAACCUUCCCUUCCCAAACCUUCCCAAACC
rnacentral:lncRNA from 1 species